GAUAAAUCUUCGAGCUAUCUGCAGGUUCUGAUUUGAGCUCCUCCUCAAAGUGAGAGGAUGGAGUUUCCAUUCCCCUAGUGGCUGUGUGAUAUGGAGACCGUGUCAGAUGACUUUCUACUGUUGUGGCCACUGAGACCACUGUGGGAACUAGAUCUGCCUGGAGGGCCUGGUUCCAGCUUACACCGCCUAGUGCUGGCCCUCGAAAAUUCCACUUUGAGCAGACAUAAGCUGACUGACGGACUCAACAGGAAGCACCAGUAUUCUGACAGAGAUUUGGGCCCAGACUCCUAGAAUCAGCUGUUGCUCUAACUGCUUGGCCAACCACCAUAAAGGGACUAAGUCCUUUUAGGCACACUGUUAGAGGCCCCAGGCUUCACAAAAGUGUGGGCCUCCUUGUCCCAGAGACAUUCUGCGUGGGCCAGACCCAGUAUGUGGACUGAGAGGUUUCUUGCGGGUGCCCUCCCUCUGUGACAGGGCUGAACGAGGGUCCCCUUAAUACAGCGUGAAAUCGAUGAGAGGAGGCGGGACCCAGGCUAAGGAUUCAUUUUUCUUGUUGCCAUAUUUCUUUGCUCGUUACAGUUUCUUUAGACCCUAGAGCUCUUGUCGGCGACCCGUUUUCUGAAUGGAGACGUCGCUGAGCUUUGAAGUCAUAAUUUAUCCCGCAAGAGCUGCUCAAAGAGACGCUUUUGAGCUCGCAUCCGGGUGAGGGCUGGGAAUUGUAAGUCACCUCCCAGCACUUGGCCAAAUUGCAGAGGAGAGUCUCCUUACCUCAGGGAGUCAGUUUUAACUUAUUGCUUUUUCCUCGAGAUAGUUUUCUCAAACGUUUUCUCCCCCUCGCUUUCACUGCGUAUCCUAACUUAGCUUGUACAAUUUAGCUGUUCCUGAUUUAUUAACGGCAAGUAGUCAGCUGUGAGGUAACCCAUGACUUCCCUGUGAUUAACCAUCAAGCUCAAUAUGCGUUCUGAAACUUGGCUAUGGCAAGCCAAGGGAUGCACGAUGUUUUCCCCUCACUACUCAAAGACAAUCCUAUUCCAUAUAAAAGUCUUCAUCAGCCUCUGAGAUGGACAAGAAGGAGGCUUGACCCGAAUCUCUGUGCCUGGAUUCAAGUCACCCUCUUACAGGUGGAAGAGAAAUGUCUUCAACGUGCACGUUUGCAUAAUGAAACCCAUCUGACUGAGUAGAGCUAUACUGAGUGGCCGGCGCCUCUGGUGUCUCCCCCUCACCUCUUCUGUACCCUCCUACACACUCUCGAGAGACACAUAUGCGCACACUCUGUGCAAGUUACAGAAAAGAAAAAUAGUAAAAACGCAUCUCUGUCUCCAGAUGGUAUUCUUUUCUACCC